AUGAACGCUAGCUACAGGCUUAACACAUGCAAGUCGAGGGGCAGCAUUUUUAUAGCAAUAUAAAAGAUGGCGACCGGCGCACGGGUGAGUAACACGUAUCCAACCUGCCGAUAACUCGGGGAUAACCCUUCGAAAGAAGGCCUAAUACCCGAUGGCAUAUCCCUUCCGCCUGGUUGGGAUAUUAAAGAAAUUCGGUAUGAGAUGGGGAUGCGUUCCAUUAGUUUGUUGGGGGGGUAACGGCCCACCAAGACUACGAUGGAUAGGGGUUCUGAGAGGAAGGUCCCCCACAUUGGAACUGAGACACGGUCCAAACUCCUACGGGAGGCAGCAGUGAGGAAUAUUGGUCAAUGGACGCGAGUCUGAACCAGCCAAGUAGCGUGAAGGAUGACUGCCCUAUGGGUUGUAAACUUCUUUUAUAUGGGGAAUAAAGUGGUCCACGUGUGGACUUUUGUAUGUACCAUAUGAAUAAGGAUCGGCUAACUCCGUGCCAGCGCCGCGGUAAUACGGAGGGAUCCGAGCGUUAUCCGGAUUUAUUGGGUUUAAAGGGAGCGUAGGCGGAUUGUUAGGCACUUGUGAAAGUUUGCGGCUCACCGUAAAAUUGCAGGUUGAUACUGGGGUCUUGAGUGCAGGAGAGGUGGGCGGAAU
rnacentral:rRNA from 1 species